rnacentral:sRNA from 1 species
UUUCCCCUAGACUGUAUCCCGACAAAAUGUCCUAGUAACAAAUUGCUUUUUAAGCUACUGUUCUGGGAAAACCAAGCAUUAAAAUUGAUUAUUCUAAAACAUAAAGUGGACUAAAGCCAUCCUAUUUUAUAAUUUUCUAAUGCAAAGUGGUUUAGUAUAGAGUUAACACUUAGAAGUUUAUAGUUUACUGUUUUUAUUCUUAUGUACUGUAAGGACCAUAUUUGAGUUUUUGGUCUAUUCCUACCAUUGUUUCUUUGUGGGGAGGAGUUGGGGAGGUUUGGGGGAUUGGUUUUUUUUGUUUUGUUUUUUUAAACUACAGGUAUUUGUAAAACAGUGUUUGGGUUCAAACAAAUUAGUUGUUAAACAUCUGUAAUCCAGUUUUCUGUAAAUGUUGCUGUUGUUCUAAGCUCUGUUAAUGUUAAGCAUUCUUUGUAUAUAAAAUUACAAUAAAAUGUUAAAACUGGUUGCUUGUUUUGUGGAUGAAUGUAAAGACAAACCCCAAUGAAUGGCUGAUAUGAGUGCUAAAUGCCUGAAGAUUCAACUUAACUAGAAAUCACUCCCUUAGACCCUGCUUAUAUCUAGACCUUGUAUAUCAUACCUCAAAGAUGAAAUUCAUAAAACUUAUCUGAAGAGUUUAAUUUAAAAUUAUAAUGCUCAAUGCACAUCUUUUGCACUUGAGUUGAAACUAACAUCACUACCUAAAGAGCCUUCUACUUCUAAUAUCUGCUGCAUAAUACGUUCAGUCAUUCUACCCCCAUCCCUACCUCCACAUUGUAAGUAUAAAUUACAGUCUUAAUGCUCUGACACUUGAAUUAUUUUUAAAACGUCAAGUGUUUCUAUUCUAACUUAAUAUCAGUCUUUAACUUGUAGAAAAGUAGUAUGCAAGUCUUCAUGUAAGGUACAAACAGGGUCUAAGGUUUGAGUGCCCCCAGAAUGACUUUCUUCAGCCUUGCAGACACCCAAACAUCAUGUAAUUACCUAAGGAAUUCCCAAGUGCCUCUUCCAGGUUAUACAUGUAAAUAGCUGUUUUUAUGCAAGGUUAGUUAGAUACUGCUCUUUACAGGAUGAGUGGUGUUGUCUUUGGCUGUGUGGUCUUAAAUGUGUUUCUAAUGUGUGUGUCAAAUAAUUACCUGUUAAACAGACUGCCAAUCUGGCUGAAGCCAAUGCUUCUGAAGAAGAUAAAAUUAAAGCAAUGAUGUCGCAAUCUGGCCAUGAAUACGACCCAAUCAAUUACAUGAAGAAACCUCUAGGUCCACCACCUCCAUCUUACACGUGUUUCCGUUGUGGUAAACCUGGACAUUAUAUUAAGAAUUGCCCAACAAAUGGGGAUAAAAACUUUGAAUCUGGUCCUAGGAUUAAAAAGAGCACUGGAAUUCCCAGAAGUUUCAUGAUGGAAGUGAAAGAUCCUAAUAUGAAAGGUGCAAUGCUUACCAACACUGGAAAAUAUGCAAUACCAACUAUAGAUGCAGAAGCAUAUGCAAUUGGGAAGAAAGAGAAACCUCCCUUCUUACCAGAAGAGCCAUCUUCUUCCUCAGAAGAAGAUGAUCCUAUCCCAGAUGAAUUGUUGUGUCUCAUCUGCAAGGAUAUUAUGACUGAUGCUGUUGUGAUUCCCUGCUGUGGAAACAGUUACUGUGAUGAAUGUAUAAGAACAGCACUCCUGGAAUCAGAUGAGCAUACGUGUCCAACAUGUCAUCAAAAUGAUGUUUCUCCUGAUGCUUUAAUUGCCAAUAAAUUUUUACGACAGGCUGUAAAUAACUUCAAAAAUGAAACUGGCUAUACAAAAAGACUACGAAAACAGUUACCUCCUCCACCACCCCCAAUACCACCUCCGAGACCACUGAUUCAGAGGAACCUACAACCUCUGAUGAGAUCUCCAAUAUCAAGACAACAAGAUCCUCUUAUGAUUCCAGUGACAUCUUCAUCAACUCACCCAGCUCCGUCUAUAUCUUCAUUAACUUCUAAUCAGUCUUCCUUGGCCCCUCCUGUGUCUGGAAAUCCAUCUUCUGCUCCAGCUCCUGUACCUGAUAUAACUGCAACAGUAUCCAUAUCAGUUCAUUCAGAAAAAUCAGAUGGACCUUUUCGGGAUUCUGAUAAUAAAAUAUUGCCAGCUGCAGCUCUUGCGUCAGAGCACUCAAAGGGAACCUCCUCAAUUGCAAUUACCGCUCUUAUGGAAGAGAAGGGUUACCAGGUGCCUGUUCUUGGAACCCCAUCUUUGCUUGGACAGUCAUUAUUGCAUGGACAGUUGAUCCCCACAACUGGUCCUGUAAGAAUAAAUACUGCUCGUCCAGGUGGUGGUCGACCAGGCUGGGAACAUUCCAACAAACUCGGCUAUCUGGUUUCUCCACCACAACAAAUUAGAAGAGGGGAGAGGAGCUGCUACAGAAGUAUAAACCGUGGGCGACACCACAGCGAAAGAUCACAGAGGACUCAAGGCCCGUCACUACCAGCAACUCCAGUCUUUGUACCUGUUCCACCACCUCCUUUGUAUCCGCCUCCUCCCCAUACACUUCCUCUCCCUCCGGGUGUUCCUCCUCCACAGUUUUCUCCUCAGUUUCCUCCUGGCCAGCCACCACCUGCUGGGUAUAGUGUCCCUCCUCCAGGGUUUCCUCCAGCUCCUGCCAAUUUAUCAACACCUUGGGUAUCAUCAGGAGUGCAGACAGCUCAUUCAAAUACCAUCCCAACAACACAAGCACCACCUUUGUCCAGGGAAGAAUUCUAUAGAGAGCAGCGACGACUAAAAGAAGAGUCUAAAUCUCCCUAUAGUGGUUCUUCGUAUUCAAGAAGUUCAUAUACUUAUUCUAAAUCAAGAUCUGGUUCAACACGUUCACGCUCUUAUUCUCGAUCAUUCAGCCGCUCACAUUCUCGUUCCUAUUCACGGUCACCUCCAUACCCCAGAAGAGGCAGAGGCAAGAGCCGCAAUUACCGUUCACGGUCUAGAUCUCAUGGAUAUCAUCGAUCUAGGUCAAGGUCACCCCCUUACAGACGCUAUCAUUCACGAUCAAGAUCUCCUCAAGCGUUUAGGGGACAGUCUCCUAAUAAACGUAACAUACCUCAAGGGGAAACAGAACGUGAAUAUUUUAAUAGAUACAGAGAAGUUCCACCACCAUAUGACAUGAAAGCAUAUUAUGGGAGAAGUGUUGACUUUAGAGACCCAUUUGAAAAAGAACGCUACCGAGAAUGGGAGAGAAAAUAUAGAGAGUGGUAUGAAAAAUAUUAUAAAGGUUAUGCUGCUGGAGCACAGCCUAGACCCUCAGCAAAUAGAGAGAACUUUUCUCCAGAGAGAUUUGUGCCACUUAACAUCAGGAAUUCUCCCUUCACAAGAGGCCGCAGAGAAGACUAUGUUGGUGGGCAAAGUCAUAGAAGUCGAAACAUAGGUAGCAACUAUCCAGAAAAGCUUUCAGCAAGAGAUGGUCACAAUCAGAAGGAUAAUACAAAGUCAAAAGAGAAGGAGAGUGAAAACGCUCCAGGAGAUGGUAAAGGAAAUAAGCAUAAGAAACACAGAAAAAGAAGAAAAGGGGAGGAAAGUGAGGGUUUUCUGAACCCAGAGUUAUUAGAGACUUCUAGGAAAUCAAGAGAACCUACAGGUGUUGAAGAAAAUAAAACAGACUCAUUGUUUGUUCUCCCAAGUAGAGAUGAUGCCACACCUGUUAGAGAUGAACCAAUGGAUGCAGAAUCAAUCACUUUUAAAUCAGUGUCUGAAAAAGACAAGAGAGAAAGGGAUAAACCAAAAGCAAAGGGUGAUAAAACCAAACGGAAGAAUGAUGGAUCUGCUGUGUCCAAAAAAGAAAAUAUUGUAAAACCUGCUAAAGGACCCCAAGAAAAAGUAGAUGGAGAACGUGAGAGAUCUCCUCGAUCUGAACCUCCAAUUAAAAAAGCCAAAGAGGAGACUCCAAAGACUGACAAUACUAAAUCAUCAUCUUCCUCUCAGAAGGAUGAAAAAAUCACUGGAACCCCCAGAAAAGCUCACUCUAAAUCAGCAAAAGAACACCAAGAAACAAAACCAGUCAAAGAGGAAAAAGUGAAGAAGGACUAUUCCAAAGAUGUCAAAUCAGAAAAGCUAACAACUAAGGAAGAAAAGGCCAAGAAGCCUAAUGAGAAAAACAAACCACUUGAUAAUAAGGGAGAAAAAAGAAAAAGAAAAACUGAAGAAAAAGGCGUAGAUAAAGAUUUUGAGUCUUCUUCAAUGAAAAUCUCGAAACUAGAAGUGACUGAAAUAGUGAAACCAUCACCAAAGCGCAAAAUGGAACCUGAUACUGAAAAAAUGGAUAGGACCCCUGAAAAGGACAAAAUUUCUUUAAGUGUGCCAGCCAAAAAAAUCAAACUCAACAGAGAAACUGGGAAGAAAAUUGGAAGUACAGAAAAUAUAUCAAACACAAAAGAACCCUCUGAAAAAUUGGAGUCAACAUCUAGCAAAGUUAAACAAGAAAAAGUCAAAGGAAAGGUCAGACGAAAAGUGACUGGAACUGAAGGAUCCAGCUCAACUCUGGUGGAUUAUACCAGUACGAGCUCAACUGGAGGCAGUCCUGUGCGGAAAUCUGAAGAAAAAACAGAUACAAAGCGAACUGUGAUUAAAACGAUGGAAGAAUAUAAUAAUGACAAUACGGCGCCAGCUGAAGAUGUUAUCAUUAUGAUUCAGGUUCCUCAAUCCAAAUGGGAUAAAGAUGACUUUGAAUCUGAAGAAGAAGAUGUUAAAUCCACACAGCCUAUAUCAAGUGUAGGAAAACCUGCUAGUGUUAUAAAAAAUGUUAGUACAAAGCCAUCAAAUAUAGUCAAGUAUCCUGAGAAAGAAAGUGAGCCAUCUGAGAAAAUUCAGAAAUUCACCAAGGACGUGAGCCAUGAAAUCAUACAACACGAGGUUAAAAGUUCAAAAAACUCUGCAUCUAGUGAAAAAGGGAAAACCAAAGAUCGAGAUUAUUCAGUGUUGGAAAAGGAGAACCCUGAAAAGAGGAAGAACAGCACUCAGCCAGAGAAAGAGAGUAAUUUGGACCGUCUGAAUGAACAAGGAAAUUUUAAAAGUCUGUCUCAAUCUUCCAAAGAGGCUAGAACGUCAGAUAAACAUGAUUCCACUCGUGCUUCCUCAAAUAAAGACUUCACUCCCAAUAGAGACAAAAAAACUGACUAUGACACCAGAGAGUAUUCAAGUUCCAAACGUAGAGAUGAAAAGAAUGAAUUAACAAGACGAAAAGACUCUCCUCCUCGGAAUAAAGAUUCUGCAUCUGGACAGAAAAAUAAACCAAGGGAAGAGAGAGAUUUGCCUAAAAAAGGAACAGGAGAUUCCAAAAAAAGUAAUUCUAGUCCCUCGAGAGACAGAAAACCUCAUGAUCACAAAGCCCCUUAUGAUACUAAACGGCCAAAUGAAGAGACAAAAUCUGUAGAUAAAAAUCCUUGUAAGGAUCGUGAGAAGCAUGUAUUAGAAGCAAGGAACAAUAAAGAGUCAAGUGGCAAUAAACUACUUUAUAUACUUAACCCACCAGAGACACAGGUUGAAAAAGAGCAAAUUACUGGGCAAAUUGACAAGAAUACUGUCAAGCCUAAACCCCAGUUAAGUCAUUCCUCUAGACUUUCCUCUGACUUAACUAGAGAAACUGAUGAAGCUGCUUUUGAACCAGACUAUAAUGAAAGUGACAGUGAAAGUAAUGUUUCUGUAAAAGAAGAGGAAUCUUCAGGAAACAUUUCUAAGGACCUGAAAGAUAAAAUAGUGGAGAAAGCGAAAGAGAGCCUGGACACAGCAGCAGUUGUCCAGGUGGGCAUAAGCAGGAAUCAGAGCCACAGCAGCCCCAGCGUCAGCCCCAGCAGAAGCCACAGUCCUUCUGGAAGCCAGACCCGAAGCCACAGUAGCAGUGCCAGCUCAGCAGAAAGUCAGGACAGCAAGAAGAAGAAGAAAAAGAAGGAAAAGAAAAAACACAAGAAACAUAAAAAGCAUAAGAAGCAUAAGAAACAUGCAGGCACUGAAGUGGAAUUGGAAAAAAGCCAAAAACACAAACACAAGAAAAAGAAGUCAAAGAAGAACAAAGAUAAAGAGAAGGAGAAGGAGAAAGAUGACCAAAAAGUGAAAUCUGUCACUGUGUAAAAAGACAGAUUUUUUAAAUUGACUUAAUUACUAAGUCAUCUGUAUUAAAUUUUGUUAUAAUGUAAAGAGAUUCAAGCCUUGUAAAUAAUGACAUGGAAGACCCUGUGCUGCACUUAAAAUAUUGCUGCUUGAUUAUUUGAUUUUUACAUCAGAGCUUUAUAACACGAACUUUUGUACAGAAUUGUGAGUUGUGACCAUGUAACAUGAGAGGUUUUGCUAGGGCCUAUUAUUUUUAACCACCAUUAAUUAGUUGGGGUGGAGUUUACUGUAAUGUGAAAUUUUCACAUUUGAAUUUUUUUAAUUGCCUGGCAAAAGCUGAUAUAAGUUCUAAAAUAUCAGCAGAAUGAUUUGCUGAAUUCAUUACAACCCCGUUAUGUCACUUUUUGAUUACAAUAAAAGUUUUCAGUAAACUUUUC